rnacentral:rRNA from 1 species
AACGCUAGCUACAGGCUUAACACAUGCAAGUCGAGGGGCAGCAUGGUCUUAGCUUGCUAAGGCCGAUGGCGACCGGCGCACGGGUGAGUAACACGUAUCCAACCUGCCGUCUACUCUUGGACAGCCUUCUGAAAGGAAGAUUAAUACAAGAUGGCAUCAUGAGUCCGCAUGUUCACAUGAUUAAAGGUAUUCCGGUAGACGAUGGGGAUGCGUUCCAUUAGAUAGUAGGCGGGGUAACGGCCCACCUAGUCUUCGAUGGAUAGGGGUUCUGAGAGGAAGGUCCCCCACAUUGGAACUGAGACACGGUCCAAACUCCUACGGGAGGCAGCAGUGAGGAAUAUUGGUCAAUGGGCGAGAGCCUGAACCAGCCAAGUAGCGUGAAGGAUGACUGCCCUAUGGGUUGUAAACUUCUUUUAUAAAGGAAUAAAGUCGGGUAUGGAUACCCGUUUGCAUGUACUUUAUGAAUAAGGAUCGGCUAACUCCGUGCCAGCAGCCGCGGUAAUACGGAGGAUCCGAGCGCUAUCCGGAUUUAUUGGGUUUAAAGGGAGCGUAGAUGGAUGUUUAAGUCAGUUGUGAAAGUUUGCGGCUCAACCGUAAAAUUGCAGUUGAUACUGGAUAUCUUGAGUGCAGUUGAGGCAGGCGGAAUUCGUGGUGUAGCGGUGAAAUGCUUAGAUAUCACGAAGAACUCCGAUUG